rnacentral:rRNA from 1 species
CCUACGGGUGGCUGCAGUGGGGAAUAUUGCACAAUGGGCGCAAGCCUGAUGCAGCCAUGCCGCGUGUGUGAAGAAGGCCUUCGGGUUGUAAAGCACUUUCAGCGGGGAGGAAGGCGGUGAGGUUAAUAGCCUCAUCGAUUGACGUUACCCGCAGAAGAAGCACCGGCUAACUCCGUGCCAGCAGCCGCGGUAAUACGGAGGGUGCAAGCGUUAAUCGGAAUUACUGGGCGUAAAGCGCACGCAGGCGGUCUGUCAAGUCGGAUGUGAAAUCCCCGGGCUCAACCUGGGAACUGCAUUCGAAACUGGCAGGCUAGAGUCUUGUAGAGGGGGGUAGAAUUCCAGGUGUAGCGGUGAAAUGCGUAGAGAUCUGGAGGAAUACCGGUGGCGAAGGCGGCCCCCUGGACAAAGGCUGACGCUCAGGUGCGAAAGCGUGGGGAGCAAACAGGAUUAGAUCCCGAGUAGUC